GUACACUCCUGCGGGAGGCAGCAGUGGGGAAUUUUGGACAAUGGGCGAAAGCCUGAUCCAGCAAUGCCGCGUGAGUGAAGAAGGCCUUCGGGUUGUAAAGCUCUUUUGUCAGGGAAGAAACGGUGAAAGCUAAUAUCUUUUGCUAAUGACGGUACCUGAAGAAUAAGCACCGGCUAACUACGUGCCAGCAGCCGCGGUAAUACGUAGGGUGCAAGCGUUAAUCGGAAUUACUGGGCGUAAAGCGUGCGCAGGCGGUUUUGUAAGUCUGAUGUGAAAUCCCCGGGCUCAACCUGGGAAUUGCAUUGGAGACUGCAAGGCUAGAAUCUGGCAGAGGGGGGUGGAAUUCCACGUGUAGCAGUGAAAUGCGUAGAUAUGUGGAGGAACACCGAUGGCGAAGGCAGCCCCCUGGGUCAAGAUUGACGCUCAUGCACGAAAGCGUGGGGAGCAAACAGGAUUAGAAACCCCGGUAGUCCCAUGAU
rnacentral:rRNA from 1 species